CACACACACCCAAGAGAGAAGCCACCAUCUUUUUAUAACCUAACCUGGAAUACCAUCACUUCUGCCAUAUGCUUGUGGUCUCACAGACCAACCCUGGUGCAGUGUGGGAUGGGAUUGCUCACAGGUGUGAAUUCCAGGGGCAGGGGCCAUUAGGGACCAUCUUAGGGAUACAUGAUCCAGCUGGUGUAAAUGUGAAUUAACAUCUAGGAGUCCAUGCUUGGAAGAUACGGAAUGUGGACCAAAUUGUGUAUUUCUAGUAGUAUUUAAAGUAAGGAAAAAACAAACCUAAAAGAUCCAACAAUGGAAAAUGAAUUUUGAUAUGUGUGUAAUGGUAUUUUAUGCAAUGGAAAAUGGUUAUAAAAAUGUUCAGUGUAAAAGAAUAGAUACUUGACUACAUAAACAAUGGUUCUGCUUUUGUAAAACACACAUACAUGCUCUACAAAGAAAAUUGGAAGUAAAAUGUCAAUGAUUGACAUUUGGAAUUAGAGUUUUAUUUUAAAUUCUUACUUAUACUUUCAUUUUUGUAUUUUGUGGUUUGUAUUACGUCUGCUUAAAUAAUCAGGAAAAAAUGCUAUUUUAAAAAGGAUAUUAAGCUAAAGGAUGGUCUUAAUGAGGUGAAUGUUUGUGUCCCCAACAAAAUUCAUAUGGUGAAGCCUAACCCACAGUGUGACGGCAUUACAAGGUUUGGUCUUUGGGAGGUAAUUAGGUUUGAGGUCUUGAGAGUGGAGCCUCCUAAGGGGAUUAGUGUUUUAUAAGAAGACUGAAGAGACCAGAGCCUUCCCAUCUCUCUUCACCUGAGUCUGUGGGCACCUUGAUCUAGGACUUCCCAGCUUCCAGAACUGCGAGGAAUAAAUACCUGUUGUUUUAGCUACCAGGGCUAUGGUAUUUUGUUAAAGUAGCCUGAACUAAGACAGAUGGAAACAGCCCAAGUGUCCAUCAACAGAUGAACUGAUAAUCAAAAUGUGGUCUACACUACAAUGGAAUAUUAUUCUGCCCUUAAAAGGAAUGGAAUUCCAGUACAUGCUAUGAGGAUGAACCUUGCAAACAUUCUGGCAAGUGAAAUACACCAAGCACAACAUGACAAGUGAUGUAUACUUCCUCUUACAUGAGAUACCUAGAGUGGGCAAAUUCAUGAGAGAAUAGAGACUACCAGUGCUGGGGAGAUGGGAAUGAUAUGGGCAUAGAGUUUGUGUUGGAGGGAAAUUCAUUUUCUGUUAAUUCUCUGCUGAGCACUUGACAGUGCUUUGUACCCAACAGGUUCACAAACAUGAUCUCAUUUAAUUAUCCCCAUUUUACAUUUCGAUAAUUAAUCAUACGGAUUUUGACAUGAGGGACUCACAAAAUGGAGGUCGGCCCCCGUCACAAACCCAAACCCAAGUCAGCUUGCAGAAAGGACAACCGAGAGGGAAACCUGUGCACCACCAGCAGGCCCGUAGCGGCCCCGUCCCGCAGCUCCGCGGCCUCGGGCUCACCUGCCCGGAGCGCGGGGCGCCAGCCGACCCCCGAGCCUGCUGCGAACGCUCUGCGGACGCGCCCCGGCCCGGCGUCCGCGCAUUGUGUGUCUGUAACAACGGCCGUCAAACUCGCGAAGCGCCUUUGUUUUGUCAUUUGACAGCUUGGGCGACAGGAGGGGACCGGAGGACAGCUGCCGACGGACCGCGGCCGCCCCACGCAGGCGAAGGCCCCGCGGCUCGCCGCGCCCGGCCGCUCCCCGGAUCUCAGGCGCGCUGCUCUUCGUAAGCCCGGCCCAGCGCGCACUGAGCCCUUGGAGUGCUUGUUCUAAUCCUCAGGGUGGAAACGGGCGCGUGAGAGGCUCCGGAUUUCUCACCGUGAAACGGACUGGGAGACACCUAUGAGACUGACCAAAGAACCUAGAAGAGAAGAAAAGUUUUCCAUCUGUACAGUCUGGAGCCCAACAUGGAUCCCUCCACGGGCUGGACACCACUGGCUCUGGGGCUGCUGCAGCUGAGAGCUCCUGGGGCCUCCAAGAAGAAUGGCAGAAGAUCUCCAACACAGCAUCGUAUCUGUGAAGGGCCUUGCCUGACAACCCCAUCUAUGACCCACUCCAGUUAUUCUUUGCUUCCUUCUGCUUGUCUGACACAGCACUCAGCCCCGCCUGACAGGACACUGCCCUCUGUGUCUGUUCACUGUCUCCAUAAGUUCCAAAGAGGUGGUUUUGUUCACUGCUGAAUUCCCAGUGCCAAAACAGUGCCUGCCACAUAGUAAGUGCUAAAUAACUACUUGUUUAAUAAAGUCAUGAAUGGUUUAAAAGGGGAAGAUGUUCCAUCUACCUCAAAUCUUUAAAGACUCCAAAAAAAAUCUAACUAGAUAUGAAUUACUUUAACCAGCAUCUUUAAUUUGGAAACCAAUUCAUUUGUACAAAAGUUGAAUAUAUCAUCUUUCCUAAAAGUCCACUGAAAAAACUUUCAAAAUUUUACUACAUAUAACAAAAUCAGUAACGAGGACAGACUUUCCUUAAAUACGGAUCUUUUUAAAAAUGAAAUAGGCCCCAAACCUAUCUCCAGUAAAAAACUCUUACCUUAAGAAGACCAAAUACUAAUCAGGAUAUGUGACCAGAAUAAAGAAUUUCUAAUACUCAGGUAUCAUUUGACCUGAGUUAAAUUUAAUCACAUUUCCUCACUAGUCAGAGAAUUAGAUGGGAUGAAACAAGAAAUAACUAGGCAAAAUAUCAGGACCAAGGUAACCCGCUGGUGGCUGUCAGAGGCCCC